rnacentral:lncRNA from 1 species
GGAACAGGGAGGAUGCACUGGCCAGCGCAGGGCAGGAGGUUCUGCAGCGACUGCUAGAGCUGAACGGAGCAGCCAGGCAGCGGCGGCGGAGGGACCGAGAGCAGCAGCGGCUCCGGGAGGACAGAGCAGGACGGCAACGCAUCUUGCGGGAACUGCUGGAACAAGUGCAUCGAGGCAGGACUUUGCAGCUGCGGGCACUCGGGGCCAGGUAAGAGGCAGGCAGGGAAUGGUAGGUGCCCCCUUUGCCCUGACAUUUGAUUGACAACCCACCGUCUUCCCAGGAACACCCAGAACUUCCAGGAGCUACUGUCCCCUGGCACUGAGGAGCCUACUCUUGGAGAAUAGCUUUGACCCUACCCAACCUGCCCCUUCCCUUGCUGGGUCCCCUGGAGAUUUGGAGCUGAUGAUUAAGGAAAAGGCUAAAGGGGUGACGCUACUAGGUGUGAGAUAGUUUUAGAAAGGCCCAGAGGGAACCAUUAAGGCCAGGGAGAACACACACACACACACACACACACACACACACACACACACACACACAGAGAGAGAGAGUCUCGAACGCAUUCUCGAACGCACACGCACGAACAGAGCAAUGAGGCUCCACCAGAAAUCCUCUUAUUUCUUCUUCUGGUUCCUAAGUGACUGCCAGGCCCAAGCUCAGAGGGCCAGAUCUCGAGGGUCCAGGAGUGCAAAGGCACCAUUCUUACGGAAGAAUGACUCAAUUCGGCACAUCUUGCAGG